rnacentral:rRNA from 1 species
AGUGAACGCUGGCGGUAGGCCUAACACAUGCAAGUCGAACGGCAGCACAGUAAGAGCUUGCUCUUACGGGUGGCGAGUGGCGGACGGGCGAGGAAUACAUCGGAAUCUACUUUUUCGUGGGGGAUAACGUAGGGAAACUUACGCUAAUACCGCAUACGACCUACGGGUGAAAGCAGGGGAUCUUCGGACCUUGCGCGAUUGAAUGAGCCGAUGUUGGAUUAGCUAGUUGGCGGGGUAAAGGCCCACCAAGGCGACGAUCCGUAGCUGGUCUGAGAGGAUGAUCAGCCACACUGGAACUGAGACACGGUCCAGACUCCUACGGGAGGCAGCAGUGGGGAAUAUUGGACAAUGGGCGCAAGCCUGAUCCAGCCAUACCGCGUGGGUGAAGAAGGCCUUCGGGUUGUAAAGCCCUUUUGUUGGGAAAGAAAAGCAGCAGGUUAAUACCCCGCUGUUCUGACGGUACCCAAAGAAUAAGCACCGGCUAACUUCGUG